GACACUUGGGGCCUGUGUUGUAUCUAGUAUCACUAAAAAUAAAUGCUGCUGCUGGCCAUAUUCAACAGGUUGACUCUGGGGAUCAGCGGUUGGGACACAUGGAGAGAUUCUAGUAUGAGGUCCAGCUGGUUUGCUGCUGUUUGACGUGGUGCUCCAUGGAGAGAACAACUUUCGCCUGCGACCCCAAGAAGUCGCUGCUGUCAUAUCCUCGGCUGUUAGCGUCUAGAAAAGGUAACAGGAUGCGCUGUGAGAUGACCGGACCUGGUGUAGCUACAGUGGUUACCAUGGAUACACGUCAAGUUGGACGGAUAAAGAAAGAUAAAUAGGCUACCGGAAGAGCAGCGAUUUUGCCGACAAAAUAAAAUAUUUUGAAUGACUGGA